rnacentral:lncRNA from 1 species
AACAUUAGUUUCCCCCUAUGUGACUGUGAACACGGAAAAUUCCUGAAACGAAAGAGACAAGAACGACGUGCACAAACAAAUAUUUGUGUUUGAUGAUGGUUUUGGGUUACAAUCUCUCUCAAAUUUGAUCCUCUGAUUCGAUCUCCGUAAGGUGUUGAUUGGUGGGUGUUUCGUUGAUCCAAGGGCCGUCGAGGCUUGAUCUUAGAUGAACAGUUGGAAGUUUCUUCAAAGGGUCGUGGGCUUGUUCUUUGAAGGUGGGUUUGAGCGGAUCUUCAAGGAGCCGUUGGGGCUUGAUCUUGAGGAUGAAUGUUUGUUCAAGGGCCGUUUGAGGCUUGAUCUUGAA